UGUCUAUGGUUAAGGGCAGGGGAGCUGGAUUAAGAUUGAUGGGAAGAUGGUGUGAGGUAAACAUUGUCAUGUUCCUGAUGUGUUUGUUUGUUCUUGUGAGCAGAGAAUCUCUCCUGGAAGGCGUGGCCAGCCGGCUGCAGAUAGCGCAACAGUUCCUAAUUCUUCUCAUCUGCUGCUAUGUAUAUAUGGAGCUGCAGUACAACCAUUCUUUGCUUGAUGGUCCAAUAUAUUUGGUAUAUUCUAGCCUUUAAGCGUUGAAGUUACCUCAUCAGUCCUGGAUAUUACUUUACCUUUUACCUUCGUGUCACCACCAUGACCGCUCGGUCCAAGAAUCUUCCUUGCUCCACGGUCAUCCCAUGCAGCUCCUUUUUCACAUCUCCCUGCCGGCUCACUAGCUCUCUGCUCACUCCUGCAAACAAAAAACUCACCCACUCAAAUCAUCCCAAACUCCUCCUGGAACAAGACAAACCAUGCUAAAUCAUCAGCAAUACAGACUCAGCAUCAACCCCUCCUUCAUUGCUUUGCUCCAACCGCCAAGCAACCCUGCAGAGCUCCCAGGUUCCCACACUUCCCAGUUCCGUUCCAAAAUUGUUCUUGUAAACAAAUUCUCCUUGUAUUCUACUACCAGUAUUCUGUCAGUGAUUCUGCAUGCAGGUCAGGAAAUUAGAAAUUAGGUGAGACAAAAACACUGGUGGAGGUUGUGGAGGACUUGAGACUGGCGUGUAGGUUCACCUUGCUGCAGGUCAAAGCUUACCUGUGUGUUAAAAUUGUCUCAGUUCAGAGAUAAAUCCAACUGAGAAUAUAUACCAAGAAUUUAAAAUUGCUCAAAUUUGACUGAACAUAGCAUAUUUUAUGUUAUAUAUCUCAUAUUAUAUAUACGAGAUAAUAAAAUUCAGUCAGGGGAAGUAAGUACAUAUUUUUUAGAUACUUUUCAAAAAUAAUGGAAAAAUGUCCAUGGUUUUCCUCAUACUUCAACAAAAUAUGUUAGAUAUGUUGGUUUGUUGCAUAAAAUUCUAAUAAAUUAAAUCAAAGUUAUAUAUUACAUAGAUAUUACAUGAACUGUGACACGCAUGUUUUGAACUAUAGAAAGAAGGAGGAGAACCAGAAAAAACAGUAUGCAUGUACUCCAACUCAACACAGAAAGGCCUCUUGCAAGGUUUAAAAUGUGGUAAUAAUUGCUGUUUAGUGAGUGCUUACCAACACCCUACUGUCCAGUCCUAAUGAACAACAACAUUACUUCCUUCUGAAGUAAAAAAAAAAGUAGUUAAAAUCAUACUUUGUUUGGGGGUUUGAGAUUACAUUAUUGUUGACUCUGCAAAACUAUCAUCGUGUUAACCUGAAAUAUCAAAGUUGUUUUUACAAACAUUCCUUCAGUGACCUCCAAGGAAAAAAAACUUUUAACAGUGAAUAUCCUGUUUCCUGCUUGAAUCUGUUGUUUAUUUCUCAUGCUACUCUGUGCUUAUUUUUUCUGAGGCUUUAUAAUUAUCUUUGAUUGGCUUUUCUGCUAAACAAGAUAGCAAAGCUGGAGAAAAAGAUAAACUUCUUGGGAAUUUUGAGUGUUGAGUGUGUAAGUAUACAAGUUGAUAUAUUUUGCCUGUGUAGUCCUAAGCAUAUGCAGUGUUGUGAAAAAGUAUUUGUAUUCUGUUUUUACCACACCUUAAUGUGUCAGACUGAGCAAACAGGGAAGUGCUCAAGGCUAAAUCCGCUCCUGACCACAAAGAAAACGAGUGCUUGUCUCACGUUUACCAGUAGAACAUCUUGAUGAUCCCCAAAACUUUUGUGAAAAUGUUCUGUGGAGUAAAGAAAGAGAUUUUUACUUUUUUAAAGGUGUUACAUAAGGUGUGAUAAAAAUAUCACAGCAUUUAAGAAAAGAACAUAAUACCUACAGUCAAACAUAGUGGUGAUAGUGUGAUGAUCUGGGGCUGCUUUGCUGCUUUAGAAUGUGGGUGACUGGGAACAAUGAAUCUUGCUGACUACCAGAAAAUCCUGAAGGAGAAUGUCCAGAAUGUCUGCUUGUGACCUUAAACAGAAGCCCACAUGGGUUAUGCAGUAGGACAGUGACAUAAAGCACACCAGGAGGCCCACUUUUGAAUUACUUAAAAGAGCAAAAUAAAUGUUUUGAAGUUGCCAAGUCAAAGUCCAGACUUAAGACCAAUUGAUCUGUUGAGGCGUGACCUCAAACAGGCCAUUCAUGCCUGAAAAUCCUACAACAUAGCUGAACAAAACUGAAAAGGGGAAAUACUUUUUGACAGCACAGUACUGCUUUUAUAUAUAUGUAUAGUAUUUUAAAUUCAAAUGUAAAUAAAAAAUAAACCAAAUGUUCCUUA